GAUGAACGCUGGCGGCGUGCCUAACACAUGCAAGUCGAACGGAGUCCAGCCUUUAAGACCUUCGGGUCAAAGAGGGGAAGACUGAGUGGCGGACGGGUGAGUAACACGUGGGCAACCUGGCUCAUAGAGGGGGAUAACAGAGAGAAAUUUCUGCUAAUACCGCAUAAGCACACACUGCCGCAUGGCAGAGGGUGAAAAGAGAAUCGCUAUGAGAUGGACCCGCGUCUGAUUAGCCAGUUGGCAGGGUAAGAGCCUACCAAAGCGACGAUCAGUAGCCGAUCUGAGAGGAUGAACGGCCACAUUGGGACUGAGACACGGCCCAAACUCCUACGGGAGGCAGCAGUGGGGGAUAUUGCACAAUGGGGGGAACCCUGAUGCAGCGACGCCGCGUGAGAGAAGAAGUAUUUCGGUAUGUAAAGCUCUAUCAGCAGGGAAGAUAAUGACAGUACCUGAAUAAGAAGCCCCGGCUAACUACGUG
rnacentral:rRNA from 1 species